UACGUAGGCAGCAAGCGUUGUUCGGAGUUACUGGGCGUAAAGGGUGUGUAGGCGGUUUUUUAAGUUUGGUGUGAAAUCUCCCGGCUCAACUGGGAGGGUGCGCCGAAUACUGAGAGGCUAGAGUGUGGGAGAGGAAAGUGGAAUUCCUGGUGUAGCGGUGAAAUGCGUAGAUAUCAGGAGGAACACCGGUGGUGUAAACGGCUUUCUGGACCAUAACUGACGCUGAGGCACGAAAGCUAGGGGAGCGAACAGG
rnacentral:rRNA from 1 species